rnacentral:rRNA from 1 species
AGUGAACGCUGGCGGCAGGCCUAACACAUGCAAGUCGAGCGGCAGCGGGUUCCCGCGAGGGGAUGCCGGCGAGCGGCGGACGGGUGAGGGACACAUCGGAAUCUGCCUGGUUGUGGGGGAUAACGUAGGGAAACUUACGCUAAUACCGCAUGAGACCCUGAGUCGACGGACUGGGGGUGAAAGUGAGGGACCUUCGGGCCUCACGCGACCAGAUGAGCCGAUGUCGGAUUAGCUAGUUGGCGGGGUAACGGCCCGCCAAGGCGACGAUCCGUAGCUGGUCUGAGAGGAUGAUCAGCCACACUGGGACUGAGACACGGCCCAGACUCCUACGGGA